UACAUGGGGUGCAAACGUUGCUCGGAAUUAUUGGGCGUAAAGCGCGCGUAGGCGGUUACUCAAGUCGGAUGUGAAAGCCCUCGGCUUAACUGAGGAAGUGCACCCGAAACUGAGUAGCUAGAGUACCAAAGAGGGUCGCGGAAUUCCCGGUGUAGAGGUGAAAUUCGUAGAUAUCGGGAGGAACACCAGUGGCGAAGGCGGCGACCUGGGCCAAUACUGACGCUGAGGUGCGAAAGCGUGGGGAGCAAACAGG
rnacentral:rRNA from 1 species